rnacentral:lncRNA from 1 species
GAUACAGCAGGCUCUGGGGAAAUAAGUAUUGUAAAGUUGGCAGGUAGAAGGGGUUUUUGGCUGUUGUUUUUCAAACAUAUUACACAUAUUUUUACAUUAUUAAAAACACACGCUUCCGCACAACACCAUUUCCCCAGAAGCCUCUCUGGCUGACUAGUGUCAAGCCUGGUGAUUUAUAAGAUUGUUUGCAUAUAUUAUAUUUUAAAACACAUAUUGCUUUUGUAAAACGCGUAUUUAUUAUACAUUUUGGAAUUCAUAAUAUGCGCAGAAAAGCAGCCUCCGCCUGGCUGGAUCUGAGACAGUCUGUCACGUAAACACAUUUCUGGAAGGGACUUCAUACAAAUGCUUUAGACGGGGCCAACCAAUUCUUCCCUCCGCGGCUCCCAUGGUCUCUCCCUCCCUCUCUCUCUCUGUCUCUCUCUCUCACACACACAUGCCCCUCUCCCCCUCCUCCUGCACGUCACACCCAUACAAAUAAAUAAUAAAAACAGUAAUGGAACAACGGCCCCAGAGGAAAGCUCUGUUAGGAAUAAACCUGAUUUUCAAAGCUGCACAAAAAUCAUCAAGCAAAGUAACCUUGUGAAAAGCAACAAUUCAGAACCCUAUAGAUUGGGCGGCCCCAAAUUAGGGAAAUGGCUCUGUGAACCCCAGUCAAGUACGUUCUUCAAAUACCUCAAGCUGUGACCUUAAGUACAAGACUUGAUUUGAAAUCAAAUUGUGUGGUUGGUGUACGGGAAGAGUGUUCCAGACCCCGGUCUCCUUGCGUAAAAAGGAAAAAGGAAGGCCAGGUGCUGAGACCUCCUUGCUGAUGGGCACUUACAAAAUGGAAGGGACGAGAUUGCACAGACCUGCCCCUGCACUGAUAGCUGAAGACGCUUUUCUUCACCUACAGAAAAUGAGAACCAGCUUGGAAAAACAAAAAGGCCGUGCGUCUAGGCUCUGUGACUUGGUCCAGAUGUGCCAACUUAGCAACUCCCCACGCUGUCCGCAGCGGAGAUGGAUUUCUUUAACGUUCCUGUUAUCAAGCCCUCCUAUUUGUCGCCCCCAAACUCAGUUUCCCCCAGAUGUCUUGGACUGCUUCGUUUGAGGCUUCUGCAGCAGCUGCUGCCGCUCUACACAAAAGGCGGCUCCGAGAGCCAAGAUUAUGUCUUCAGUGCAUUACGGGCACAUGCAGUGCGUAUAUCUUCGGUAAAUAACCGCCCGUUUUCACAUGGAUUAUUUAGAAUUUCUGAUGAAACUGCAGAAAUGUCAAUGCGGGGUCUAAGCCACCAAUCGGAGAGCGGCUCCGCGACCCCUCUCUUCUUCAGCAAGACUGCUAUUAUCUUCAAGGGGAAAAAAAACCCUCUUUGUCUCUUGUUAUACCUUUUUUAUGAUCUAGGAUGCUGUUAAUAACGACUUUGUGUUACAUAAAACAGAUAAAUUAAUGUCACCAAGUCCCCAAAGUACUGAAUCAACCCUACUCCUUCAAAGGAAAGCAGAAAGUGUAUGAACUGAAGGCCAGGACUGAAGAGGGGCUCCUCUCCUAAAAUGGGAGAGGUCCUCCAAUCGCUGGCCUGUUCCUAUUUGAAAUGCAAUAUUUAAAAACCGUGUGGCUGGGGAGGAAAAUGCCGCUGUCUGGCUGAACAUCCCUCCAAAGGGGAAAUCGAGCGUGUGG